GUCCGCGAAGUAUAGACGUUAUAAACGUAGUUUGAUUAUGACGUUUUAACAGUCAUUUAUACAAACCAAAAAUGAACACGCCGGUUUUUGAUUAAAAACUUUUGAACCAAAUUUGAAUAACUUAAAUCUAACCGUGCUUUGUCGGUUAGAGAAAAAUGUGUUUUAUUUCGGUAGCUGGAAAAAGAACUGCUGCAGUCGAUCGUUUUACUAUAGGCCUAAUAGAUACAAGUAGUAUUCGCAUAUUUAGAUAUCCUGUAUCCUGCUUUUAUUGGAAGCGAACGGAUACAUUUGAAUCAUUGUUUAUGUUGCAGUUUAGUUUGCGGUUCCCUUUAAAAUGUCGCUUUUAUUGAAAAGUAGCGUGUACAAUAUAAAGGUACAUAUUUUCAUGUGUAAGUUA
rnacentral:lncRNA from 1 species